rnacentral:rRNA from 1 species
UACGUAGGUGGCAAGCGUUGUCCGGAUUUAUUGGGUUUAAAGGGUGCGUAGGCGGCUUUGUAAGUCAGUGGUGAAAUAUGGCAGCUCAACUGUCAGGGUGCCAUUGAUACUGCGGAGCUUGAGUACAGAUGAGGUAGGCGGAAUUGACGGUGUAGCGGUGAAAUGCUUAAAUAUCGUCAAGAACACCGAUAGCGAAGGCAGCUUACUAGGCUGUAACUGACGCUGAGGCACGAAAGUGUGGGGAUCAAACAGG